rnacentral:tRNA from 1 species
GCCGUCUUAGCUCAGUUGGAAGAGCAGCGGUUUCUUAAACCGAAGGUCGUGAGUUCAAACCUCACAGGCGGCA